CACCGCCCACCACUUCCAACCUUAUCGAUUUUGUUUAAUUGAUUCUUUUACCUCACUGUUUCAUCUACCGUUUCUCUAAAUUACAGAUGAUGGUCUUGAGGUUGUUGUUGUCCUCGAUGUGCGAUGGAAAUGGUUUAGUCAGCGGCUUCCCAGUUUCCAUGUUCGGCUCCCUCAAUUGCAGCCCCCACCGUUGAUCAGUUCGGGUUAGGGUUGUCAUUUUGAUCUCAGAUACAUACUCGAUUUCCAACUUCCAUCAUGUAUGGCUUGCCACCAUAUCGCCUUCGGUUGCAGGUAUGUUCUCUCUACUCUACUUUAUCCCCUCAUCUCUCAAGAGGAAGGCAUCAAAACCCUCUUACUCACCAUCUUCUCCACCGAGCCUGACCAUCACCAUCUCCGUUAACUCUCUUUCUAUUGGCGCCUAUCGUUGCGUCAUUGGUGGCGGAGGCCAUUACGACUAUUAAGGAUGUUGUAGAGGCGGUGGUCGAGAAAGAUAUUAGGGUUUCAGAUGAAGGUACUGGUCUGCCAAAUAAUUGAAGCCUAAAGUCUUGAGAAUUACAAUCGAUGAAAUAGGUAUUCGCCGAUACCCUUGAAAAUUGAAAAUUCAGUGGUAUGCGGAGAUCAAGGAGUCGAUUAGUCGAGUUCUUAAUCAACAAAUCAGUACUCAAUCGAUCAUGUAAUGGCUCUUUCAAGUUCUUAUUUUUUCAAGUUACAAUUUCACAUUCUAAAUCAAAUAGAUAUCUUACGGUUACGAAUUAUCUUCAAAUUUUUGUGCAAUAAUGAUAGAUUAAAGUGGAAAAUUCAAAACGAAACAAGAGAAAAUAGGCACAACAGGAAGAUGGUUGAACCAUGAGAGAUUCUUAAAUCUGAUGAUAGUUUCGAGUUGCAUUUAUCAAAAACAACAUUACAACAAUAUCUUAUGAAAAAUUGUUGUCCCCUAUUAUCUAUUUGAAUUUUAUUUCUGUUUGAGUUAUUUGAGUUUUAUGCAAGAAAUAUCUUAUUCAUGUAUUCUCUAAUGUUUGUUGUUGAUGAACACCAGGAGACGAACAUGAGUUGAUUUUUCCUUCAUAAUUGCAUAGACUUGGCUUAGGAGAUGAACAUCAAAUGAUUUCUCCUUCAACAAUUUUAGGUACCUGAUAUGUGUUAAAGGGUGUAGGUGCAUCAAAUUUUGUUUUUAUACUUCUACCGUAUUGAUCAUAUUAGUGAUGAAAAUGGUAAAGAGAAUGUAAAGUUUUAUCAUUGACUCAUUUGUCAAAAGUAUUGACUUUCAUAGUUUUUGUUGUCAAAAUGGCUAAAAUUUUGGACUUUUGUGUUAUUAGCUAUGAAAAAUUGUAAAAUGUUGACUUUUUCAUUUUCAUGAUAAAUGUUGUUGACCUUAAGCCUUUUAAUAAGGGCUAAGAAUUUUGGCUUUGUUGGUUAUGUAA